GCAAGUCGUGCGAGAAAGUAUCUUCGGAUAUGAGUAGAGCGGCGGACGGGUGAGUAACGCGUAGGAAUCUACCUAGUAGAAGGGGAUAGCCCGGGGAAACCCGGAUUAAUACCGUAUACCUCCUUCGGGAGAAAGAAGGCCCCUCUUUGAAGCUUUCGCUACUAGAUGAGCCUGCGUAAGAUUAGCUUGUUGGUGAGGUAAAGGCUCACCAAGGCAACGAUCUUUAGCUGGUCUGAGAGGACGAUCAGCCACAUUGGGACUGAGACACGGCCCAGACUCCUACGGGAGGCAGCAGUGGGGAAUAUUGGACAAUGGGCGCAAGCCUGAUCCAGCCAUACCGCGUGUGUGAAGAAGGCCUUCGGGUUGUAAAGCACUUUAAGCAGGGAGAAAAAGUUAUAAGUUAAUACCUUAUAGCCUUGAUGUUACCUGCAGAAUAAGCAGCGGCUAAUUCCGUGCCAGCAGCCGCGGUAAUACGGAAGGUGCAAGCGUUAAUCGGAAUUACUGGGCGUAAAGCGCGCGUAGGUGGUUUGUUAAGUUGGAUGUGAAAGCCCUGGGCUCAACCUAGGAACUGCAUCCAAAACUAACUCACUAGAGUACGAUAGAGGGAGGUAGAAUUCAUAGUGUAGCGGUGGAAUGCGUAGAUAUUAUGAAGAAUACCAGUGGCGAAGGCGGCCUCCUGGAUCUGUACUGACACUGAGGUGCGAAAGCGUGGGUAGCGAACAGGAUUAGAUACCCUGGUAGUCCACGCCGUAAACGACGACAACUAGCUGUUGGGAGACAAAGUCCUUCAGUGGCGCAGCUAACGCUUUAAGUUGUC
rnacentral:rRNA from 1 species